CUGCAUUGAGGUCUUACUACUUAUACCUAAUCUACUUUUCUUCGAUAUGUUUUGACGUCUAUGAGUUGUGGUUCGUAAUCUAGGUGUAUAGCUUUCAGUUUUGAAUCUAUACACUAGUUUCGACUCUGUUCUUGAACUAUGUCUCCAACUUGGAACAGUUUAUCAAUAAAUCUCCUAAAGUCUUUUGGUUUUACAAGAAGAAAGAUACGAGAAAGUUCAUCUGAAAAAAAAACAAGAAAAAAAAACACACUACUGUUUGGUUUCUUCGCUCUGCUAUUGCUCCCACUCUUUCAAGGACGUUGUGGUUGCUCUUGCCUUUGGAGAUCUUUGCUGCUUUAAUCCCGUCGCUUGUGUCCACCACGUUAGUAAGAAGUGUUAAAAUCACUAGGUAAAGAGAUGACAAAAAGGGUUUAUAUAAUAUACUUAACAGUAUCUGCAUUGUUCAAAGCUUCAGAUUCAGGAUGGUGACGUUUGACUUGUUGCUUAUCAACGACGCUUGUACACAUUCGCUUUGAAUGGUGAUUACAGAACUGUUUGCUUCUUCCUCCACAUUGCACCGUUUCUACUGGGACGUUUGGUUGCGGCUGCUGGUAAUGUCCGUUUUGGUGUUGUGGCCGCGUUACUAGUUGUGCUGCUAAAUUGAUAAUAUGAAUGUUCAAAGCUUCUUCAGAUUCAGGAAGAUGAUGUGUUACUCCUCCUCCUGGUUGUUGCUGAUGAUCAACGCUUGUAUACGUCAGCAUUGAUGGGGAUAUGUCAAAGUUAUUAUCACAUAACAGUUCAUCAGUGAUUUCUUCAUUUUGUUGCUGCUGCUGCUGCUGCUGCCAAUGGGGUUGGUAUUGUCCGAUUAGGUGUCGCCUCCAAACUCUAGUCUCAACUGUUGAAAAAAAAAUAAGACAUUCUUAAGUAGAUGGGUCAAAUACAAUGAGAGAGAGUAAGGUUGAGUUUCUCUUCUUUAUAUGCAGCAGGAUCAGUAGGUAGCCACCAAUCAUCAGUAUCUGCUGGUAUAAAGGUUGGAGCUCCAAGAGAGUUAACUAGAGGGAAAGAAAAGGAAUCCGAUUCAUACCAAAUGGUUAAGUAUAAAAGGUUUUGAUACAGUGAGAAGAGAGCGUGAGUUUUUUUCUUUACUAAUAUGAUCAUCAUUAUAUGUAUGCAAUGGAUUCUGAUGGGGUUGAUUUUGCUGAUCGUGAGGAACCGGCGGCAGCUGCAUCAUUGCAAAACAGAGAGACAGCAGGAAGUUUUAGAAGCAAGAAACUUAAUUUUCAGUCACUGUAUUGUAGUACAAAAAAACUUUUUCAGGCUUUACUUGAUGGACCAUUUGCAUAUGGAAAUGGUAAGCUUGUAGUAUAAAGGUGUUGCUCUUGCUGAUCAUAAGGAAUAUGGAAACUGCGUCACUGCCAACAGAGAGACAGAAGGAACCCUCAGGAGCCAGAAAGUGCAAGAAAUCAACUUUUCAAUCAGUGUAUGCAGUACACUAUUUUUGUAAGGAAUUACCAGCUGCGUCUCUUUCUGGUCAGCUAGUAGAGCGCUAUCUUAAUAUAUAAAACAGACUUUUCUGGCUUCUCAAUGUAUCCACGUCGCUUUUAAAGGUAGGGGCAUUUUGUGACACCUGUCGCAACAACAUUGGUUCAGCGUUUUUUUCCCUGAACUUUAACUCGAUUACUCAAUUCAUCUCCCAGCGUAACGGACGGAAGCUUCGACUAUAAAUCUAUGACUUCUCUCACUGCCUUUUUCUCUGAUAAAUUUCUUUUUUGGUUGCUCGAUUUUCUUGGAUGGGCCAGACAGUUUCUGAGAAAUUAAUUGGGUUUUAUACUGUCUGUGCAAAUAAACCCAAUGUUAGGUUUCUUCCUUCUCGAUAAUGGAGAUGGAGAACAGAAACGUCAUGCCUUUUCAGAUCACACCGUCUCUGACGACUAUGUAACGACUGCAAUUAUCAUUUAGUAGUUUUCUUAGACUUUUAUGUAAGCCAUGGUUCUUUUCAAUUUUUCAGAUUUUUUUUUAAACAUUUCAGAUUUUUACCAUUAAUCCUUCCAUGUAUUGGAUUUCUAUUCAGUCUUCACGAAUCUCACCAAAAAAAAUCCUUCACAAAAUCAUAUUUGGAAACAUCUUCUGCUUCUUGAAAGGGUUUGUCUUGAUGAUUUAUGUUUCGAAUCUAUGAUUGGAAGAUCUACAGAUAUACCGGACAAGCUAUUGAUGGAUACAGUGGACAGGAGGGUGGAAUCACAUUUUUGGGUUCGUCAGUUCGUGGACCAUGUUUGCAACUUCUACCACAAUUAAAACUUAUUAGUAAUUAUUACAUUCACGUGUUUACAGAUGUCUUCUAAUUUUCUUAAGCUCCACUAAAGUGUUUUUUUUAAAUCUCAGCUUAUUGUUUCUUCAAAUGUGUUGUUAAUUUCCACCAUCUUAAUAAAAAAAGGUUUAGCA